rnacentral:lncRNA from 10 species
ACACACACACACACACCUGAGAUGGGGUAGAUCAUUGUAUUUUUGUGUCUACCAGCAAGAAAAGGAAGGAAAAACUAAGGCUGGAGUACAAUGGCAUAGUCUUGGCCCACUGCAACCUCCACCUCCUGGGUUCAAGUGAUUCUCCUGCCUCAGCCUCCUGAGUAGCUGGAACUACAGGUGUGCACCACCAUGCCCUGCUAAUUUUUUGUAUUUUUAGUAGAGACAGGGUUUCACCAUGUUAGCCAGCUGGUCUCGAACUCCUGACCCCAGGUGAUCCACCUGCCUCAGCCUCAUAAGGGCUCUGUGUAUGAAUGACAAGGAUACCUUCAGCCAGCUCAUUCUGGAUGAAUGAAUGAUUACACUAAGUGUCCUCCACAUUCCUCUGUGG